rnacentral:tRNA from 1 species
UAAAUAAGAGCUUGACGGUCAAGCUUUUGGUUGUUAACCAGAAAGAUGCGGGAUCAAAACCCGCUUGU